AACGAACGCUGGCGGCGUGCUUAACACAUGCAAGUCGAACGAAGUGGCGAACGGGUUAGUAACGUGUAAACAACCUGCCCUUCAGAGGGGGACAACAGUUGGAAACGACUGCUAAUACCGCAUACUGAAGGAGGGGACUGCGUCUGAUUAGCUAGUUGGAGGGGUAACGGCCCACCAAGGCGAUGAUCAGUAGCCGGUCUGAGAGGAUGAACGGCCACAUUGGGACGAAGACACGGCCCAGACUCCUACGGGAGGCAGCAGUGGGGAAUCUUCCGCAAUGGACGAAAGUCUGACGGAGCAACGCCGCGUGAGUGAUGACGGCCUUCGGGUUGUAAAGCUCUGUUAAUCGGGACGCGGUACCGGAAUAGAAAGCCACGGCUAACUACGUGCCAGCAGCCGCGGUAAUA
rnacentral:rRNA from 1 species